rnacentral:misc_RNA from 1 species
GAUGAAGAACGUAGCGAAAUGGGAUAACUAAUGUGAAUUGCAGAAUUCAGUGAAUCAUCGAGUCUUUGAACGCACAUUGCGCCCCCUGGUAUUCCGGGGGGCAUGCCUGUUCGAGCGUCAUUUCACCACUCAAGCCUCGCUUGGUAUUGGGCAACGCGGUCCGCCGCGUGCCUCAAAUCGACCGGCUGGGUCUUCUGUCCCCUAAGCGUUGUGGAAACUAUUCGCUAAAGGGUGUUCGGGAGGCUACGCCGUAAAACAACCCCAUUUCUAAGGUUGACCUCGGAUCAGGUAGGGAUACCCGCUGAACUUAAGCAUAUCAAUAAGCGGAGGA